rnacentral:rRNA from 1 species
CACGUAGUUAGCCGGGGCUUCUUGGUCAGGUACCGUCAUUUCUUUCUUCCCUGCUGAUAGAGCUUUACAUACCGAGAUACUUCUUCACUCACGCGGCGUCGCUGGAUCAGGGUUCCCCCCAUUGUCCAAUAUUCCCCACUGCUGCCUCCCGUAGGAGUUUAGGCCGUGUCUCAGUCCCAAUGUGGCCGUCCACCCUCUCAGGCCGGCUACUGAUCGUCGCCUUGGUGGGCCGUUACCCCGCCAACAAGCUAAUCAGACGCGGGUCCAUCAUAUACCACCGGAGUUUUUCACACUGAGCCAUGCAGCUCCGUGCGCUUAUGCGGUAUUAGCACCUAUUUCUAAGUGUUAUCCCCCUGUAUAUGGCAGGUUACCCACGCGUUACUCACCCGUCCGCCACUAAGCCGCCAACAUUCCACUCUUAGCAAGCUAAUCGCUUCAAAAAUGGUGCCCCGUUCGACUUGCAUGUGUUAAGCACGCCGCCAGCGUUCACUCCUGAGCAGGAUA